rnacentral:rRNA from 1 species
GGGGACCCGCACAAGCGGUGGAUGAUGUGGUUUAAUUCGAUGCAACGCGAAAAACCUUACCCACCUUUGACAUGGCAGGAAGUUUCCAGAGAUGGAUUCGUGCCCGAAAGGGAACCUGCACACAGGUGCUGCAUGGCUGUCGUCAGCUCGUGUCGUGAGAUGUUGGGUUAAGUCCCGCAACGAGCGCAACCCUUGCCAUUAGUUGCUACGAAAGGGCACUCUAAUGGGACUGCCGGUGACAAACCGGAGGAAGGUGGGGAUGACGUCAAGUCCUCAUGGCCCUUAUAGGUGGGGCUACACACGUCAUACAAUGGCUGGUACAGAGGGUUGCCAACCCGCGAGGGGGAGCUAAUCCCAUAAAGCCAGUCGUAGUCCGGAUCGCAGUCUGCAACUCGACUGCGUGAAGUCGGAAUCGCUAGUAAUCGCGGAUCAGAAUGUCGCGGUGAAUACGUUCCCGGGUCUUGUACACACCGCCCGUCACACCAUGGGAGCGGGUUCUGCCAGAAGUAGGUAGCCUAACCGUAAGGAGGGCGCUUACCACGGCAGGGUUCGUGACUGGGGUGAAGUCGUAACAAGGUAACCAAGGGC